rnacentral:lncRNA from 1 species
UGUGGGUGAACAUACUACCUGGAUGUCCAACAAAGGCUGCACCAGAGCUCAUUUGAUAGCACAUAUUCUGUCCUGUCUACAUCUCUGAUGACCUGGAAGUGCUUCGACAUCAGAUCAUCAUCAUGCUGCUGCCCUUUUUCACUGUCCCUUUCCACAUCAUUUGGCCUUCAUCAUUUCCUGUCUUGUAGCAGUAUUUUCACCUGUUUUUAAAAUUGUAAUAAUUUUUGAUGCAUUAAUUGUUGACUGGCUUUAAUGAUCAAUUGUUUAUUAGUGUUCUGUUGCUCUGUUAUAUUGAAUUAUUGCUACUGUUUUAGCAUGGUUUACACAAUAAACCUUUAUUGUGAAGUUAAA